AUGCAGGUCCUCGAGUUGUCUGGCAACGCGGCCAAGGCCAACAAGAAGAAGCUCAUCACCCCUCGCCACCUGAUGCUCGCCAUCCGCAACGACGGCGAGCUCAGCAGCCUGCUCGCCGGCGUCACCAUCGCCCACGGCGGCGUCGUGCCCAACAUCAACCCCGCGCUUCUCCCCAAGAGGACCGCCGCCCGCAAGGCCGACAUGGAGUCCAACUGGUCCAACAACAACAAGGCCGCCGCCCCCAACUCCCUCUCCCCCAAGAAGGCCGCCGCCGGAGAGACCAUCUCUGCCGCCGAGGAGACCACCACCGCUGCCGCCGAGGAGUAG
rnacentral:rRNA from 1 species